rnacentral:tmRNA from 1 species
GGGGCCGUUUUGGUUUUGACAGCAUAGAUCUUUGUAGGUGUAAGCAUGUAGUGCGUUGCGUUAUUAGCACUUUAAUCUGAAAGCGAAAAACUCAAAUGGCAAUACUUCGUAUGCCAUGGCUGCUUAGUCGAUAGACUAGUAACCAUUAGGGCCGCCGAGCAGGUUUUAUUUCUGCCAAGUUCCGCCGCCGACAUCAAAAAAAAGGAAUAUGCUACAACAGAAUGAUGUGACUGUUGUUUAAGAUUAUUCUUCUAAGAAAAAUAUUGGUUUGUUUUGCUCCUGUAUUUUUUCGAAAAUUAAUGCAAAAAUAAACAUGUAGAAAGCUUAUGGCGAAUAUGUUUGGACACCGGUUCGAGUCCGGUCGGCUCCACAA